GAGUUUGAUCUUGGCUCAGAUUGAACGCUGGUGGCAUGCUUAACACAUGCAAGUCGAACGGAACGAAGUCUAGCUUGCUAGGCAGGCGUCGAGUGGCGGACGGGUGAGUAACGCGUAGGAAUCUGCCCUUAGAUGGGGGACAACUCGAGGAAACUCGGGCUAAUACCGCAUAAUACUUUAGGGUUAAAGGUGGCACUUAGGUGCUGUCGUCUAGGGAUGAGCCUGCGUCUGAUUAGCUAGUUGGUGGGUAAAAGCUACCAAGGCGACGAUCGGUAGCUGUUCUGAGAGGAAGAUCAGCCACACUGGGACUGAGACACGGCCCAGACUCCUACGGGAGGCAGCAGUGGGGAAUAUUGGACAAUGGGGGCAACCCUGAUCCAGCAAUGCCACGUGUGUGAAGAAGGCCUGAGGGUUGUAAAGCAACUUUCGGUGGGGAGGAAAUGGUAUCAGUGAAUAGCUGAUAUUUUUGACGUUACCUGCAGAAGAAGCACCGGCUAACGUCUGUGCCAG
rnacentral:rRNA from 1 species